rnacentral:rRNA from 1 species
UUAAAUUGAAGAGUUUGAUCAUGGCUCAGAUUGAACGCUGGCGGCAGGCCUAACACAUGCAAGUCGAACGGUAACAGAAAGCGGCUUGCU